rnacentral:rRNA from 1 species
UCAGACGAUGCGUCAUGCAUAUCAAUAAGCGGAGGAAAAGAAACUAACAAGGAUUCCCUCAGUAACGGCGAGUGAAGCGGGAAGAGCUCAAAUUUGAAAUCUUGAAAGGUCACCUUUCACGAAUUGUAGUUUAAAGAAGUGUUUUCUGUUACGAUCGUAAUAUAAGUUCUUUGGAAUAGGACAUCACAGAGGGUGAGAAUCCCGUCUAUGAUUGCGAUUUGUAGCUUUGUGAUACACUUUCAAAGAGUCGGGUUGUUUGGGAAUGCAGCCCAAAACGGGAGGUAAAUUUCUUCUAAGGCUAAAUAUCGGCGAGAGACCGAUAGCGAACAAGUACCGUGAGGGAAAGAUGAAAAGAACUUUGAAAAGAGAGUUAAAUAGUACGUGAAAUUGUCAAAAGGGAAGCGUUUAACACCAGUGUUGUUUUCUGAAAAUCAACCUCUGUUAGCUUUAUGCAUGUUUGUUUAGACCUAAUCAGCUAUCUUGCAUGUUCUAUUGUUUGCAGUGGUGCACUUUUCAGUUUACAGGUCAACAUCAGUUUUUUUUACCGUAAAAAAGUUAAAGAAAGGUAGCUCAUGGCUCCGGUCGUGAGUGUUAUAGUCUUUUUCCUAUGCGGUAGGAGAGACUGAGGUCUGCAGUGUAGGCUAUUUGGCUAGAUACUCAGGUGCUAUGUGAUACCAUUUCAUAAACAACUUGUUGAUUAUGUUUUGUCUAUUGCAUACUCGCUUGUACUAUCAUACCUACGCUUAGGAUGUUGAAGACUCUACAGAGAUA